CCAGGCUUCCACAGGGAACCCUGGUGCCCAUGUUCUAGGCUUCCAUCUCCAACACAAUCCAAGUUCUCUGCUGCCAUCUGAGACCCUCUCCGGUCCACCCACAGCUCCUUUGCCUCUAGUCCCAAGCCAAGAUGGUCAUCUGGCCUAGACGCUGGCAGCAGCCCACUCUCCCAGAAGGCCAGGUGUGGAAGGGGGCUGAGAAGAGGUGGCUCUCCUUACUGCUCUCCAGCCAGACCCCAGCCCCAGCUCCCAGACCUUGCCCUCCCUUGCUACCCCUAUUGACUUCUUAGUCUAUGAGGCGUCGCCAUCCCUCUGUGUCUAUAGCCUGUCGGGCCUUGCCUCCCUCAGAGCCCCUCAGACACAACUUGUCCCUAUCCUGCUUGCUGUCCUAAGCCAUCACAUACAUACCUUCACAUACAUUCCUGGCUCUUCUCCCAAGGAACCCUCUCUCUCUUCCCUUCCCCCACUGACCUGGAGUCUAUGGAUUCUCAGAAGGUGGCAAGACAAAUCACUCGCCACAGCUCACAUCUCACCACCCUGCCUCACUGCUUCAGGCUCAUUCCCUGUGAGCCCUGGAGGUCUCAGGUGAAAAGCGGGACACUUUGACUCAGACGGAGAGGGCUAGAGCAGCCAAGUCUAGCCCAAAAGAGAACCCAAACUUCCAGCCCAGCUGACCCCCCCCCCACCGCCAGUGUUCUGGGCACAGGAGCACAUGGGCUGGAGCAGAGCCAGGAGCGCCUGGACACACGCUAUGUCCUUUACACACUCAAGUUCCCGGGCAGAGACUGGAAGACACCAGGACAUCAUCUCGGGAGCAACCUGAAGACAGAUCUGCCUGUCAGGCAGCACUGAGAAGGCUGAGAUUCAGCUCUGCUCUGCUCAUGGACAUCUUCCCCACUUUUCCUGACCUUGGGGUGCCUGAUGGAGGCACGGGCACUCUUUAAGCAAGCUGGACCCUAAACUGCAUCCUGAGCCUCUGCUACUCCAACUCAAUGGGGGGGAGGGGCAGGAAAUGCAGGUCCAUCCAAGCUGGUGUGACUACCCAAAGGCUGCCUGCCUGAGUGGGCUACCUUGGAAACGUGCCAACCCUAGAACAAGAGAAGGAAACACAUCUCCCAACAGGGAUGGAAUUUAGAUCCAAGGUGGAGGCUUAGCAGCAUGAUAGAUAGUACAGGCCUCCAACUGCUCUAGAGUACAAGCCUACCUGAUUCCAU